UGGCAGAUUCUUGACUCAGUCCAGUUGCCUUAAUUUAUCCCUGAGGGGCCAGGAGUUGAGUUGGCCAAGGUGGCCCAUGAAGGGCCUGGGCUGAGAGCUCCUGUACCCCACUCCUCAGCCAAGGAAGAGUCUUGCACACCGGUGUGGCCUCGGCCUGAUCUGUGCUGUGGCCCUUAACCUGGCUGGCCACCCAGCUUUGAUGUUUAAGUAGAACUCUGGUGAAUGAUUUACAUUGUUCUCUCUUUUCACCAGGGCUGUCUUCUUUCUCUGUGAAAAACCAGUUGAAUUCUUUGUCUAAAUGGGGUAUUCAUUCAGAGGACGCACAAUGGACCUCUUUCACUCGCAACUAAAUCUCUAGUAACAGAGACCAAGGGCCUGCCAGCAACGUCCUUGUGAAACCCGUCCCUGUGUGCCCGGCUUCUGGAAAUGAACCGUGAGCACUGCCGUUUGGAGAAACAGGGGCCCCACAUUGUGUAGGGGGUGGGGCUGAGAGCCACAGACUGCUCUGACGCUGCGGGCAGGUCUCCGAGCUCGCACUGGGGAGCCCUGGAGUUGCUCCCCACAAGGGCAACCAAGCCCUUUUCUCGGUGGGACCCCCAAAAGCAUCAGUCUGGCAAUCACCGUUUAAGCCUGGAAGGGCAGCUGUGUGACUUUGGGUUACUGGCGUGACCUCUCUGAGCCUGAGUUUCAGGCCGAAACAUGGGGGAAUAGGAUUAUCGUGAGGAUUAAAUGACAUAAUAUGUGCAAAAUGUGGGGGCACCUACGGUUAUCUGCCAUGUCCUAAAUUAAGGCCCUUUGAUAUAUAAUGCAGAAUUGAACCCAAAGAACUAAAGCAGCAAACGAGCUGUUGUGGCUUGUCAUCCCUCAAUUAUAAAUGAGGAUACUGAAGCCCAGGGAAUGGAAGAAACGUGUCCAAUGUUGCACAGUCAUCAAAGGAGAUGGACUUUGAACUUGGGCCUCCCACAGUAAGAGGACAAGAGUGGAUUAGCUAUUACUAUUUUCUGGAUGUUGCUUUGGAUUCAGACAGGAGGAGAGAAGCAGUGGUAAAGAAACCAUGGACCAAGUGGGCUGUUGGGCAGAGGAGUCCCCACGGAGUUGGCCCUUUAUGUAUAUUGCCUCUUUGAAUCCUUAGGUGAUUAACUCGUGGAAAUCAACAGCUCCAGGGCCAGCUACCAUUGGAGGGGACAGUCAGGCCUAGCUCUUAGAAACCUGGUGACACUUAGGAAGUUUGACUGCAAAGCCUCCCCUGCUCUCUGGCUCUCUGAGACCCACCUCAGCCCUGUGGGCCAAGCACCCAUGUAUCUCUCCUGUCAGGAGAAAAUAAAAUGUCUGGUGAAGUUAUUCA
rnacentral:lncRNA from 1 species